CCGGCUCAACCGGGGAGGGUCAUUGGAAACUGGGGAACUUGAGUGCAGAAGAGGGGAGUGGAAUUCCACGUGUAGCGGUGAAAUGCGUAGAGAUGUGGAGGAACACCAGUGGCGAAGGCGACUCUCUGGUCUGUAACUGACGCUGAGGAGCGAAAGCGUGGGGAGCGAACAGGAUUAGAUACCCUGGUAGUCCACGCCGUAAACGAUGAGUGCUAAGUGUUAGGGGGUUUCCGCCCCUUAGUGCUGCAGCUAACGCAUUAAGCACUCCGCCUGGGGAGUACGGUCGCAAGACUGAAACUCAAAGGAAUUGACGGGGGCCCGCACAAGCGGUGGAGCAUGUGGUUU
rnacentral:rRNA from 1 species